rnacentral:rRNA from 1 species
UACGUAGGGGUGCGAGCGUUGUCCGGAAUUAUUGGGCGUAAAGAGCUUGUAGGCGGUUUGUCGCGUCUGCUGUGAAAUCUCAAGGCUCAACCUUGAGCUUGCAGUGGGUACGGGCAGACUAGAGGUGUGGUAGGGGAGACUGGAAGUUCCUGGUGUAGCGGUGAAAUGACGCAGAGUAUACGAGGAGGAACACCCGAGUGGCGAAG